rnacentral:piRNA from 1 species
UAAUGGACUCAAAGGAAUUGUUAUGGU